UACGUAGGGCGCAAGCGUUGUCCGGAAUUAUUGGGCGUAAAGAGCUCGUAGGCGGCUUGUCACGUCGGGUGUGAAAGCCCGGGGCUUAACCCCGGGUCUGCAUUCGAUACGGGCUAGCUAGAGUGUGGUAGGGGAGAUCGAAUUCCUGGUGUAGCGGUGAAAUGCGCAGAUAUCAGGAGGAACACCGGUGGCGAAGGCGGAUCUCUGGGCCAUUACUGACGCUGAGGAGCGAAAGCGUGGGGAGCGAACAGG
rnacentral:rRNA from 1 species